rnacentral:rRNA from 1 species
UCUUUUGGCCAUGGUUAUGGUUUAAAGGCACAAAAUCCCAUCUGAUCUAUGGAAGCUAAGCAGGAUCAGCUCUGGUUAGUACUUGGAUGGGAAGCCACCAACGAAUGCCAGGUGCUGUAGGCU